UGAUCCUGGCUCAGGAUGAACGCUGGCGGUCUGCUUAACACAUGCAAGUCGAACGCUACCUUCGCGUUGAGUGGCUGACGGGUGACGAACGCGUGACAAUCUAGCUUGGCGUCUGCGGACAUCCACUGGAAACGGUGGCUAAUACCGGAUAAGCCUUUGGGUAACCGAUUUAUUGCCCCAAUGAGGAGCUCGCGUCUGAUUAACUACUUGGUGAGGUAAAAGCUCACCAAUGCAGCGAUCAAUACCUGGUCUGAGAGGACUAUCAGCCACACUGUGACUGAGACUCCGGCCAGACUCCUACCCGGAGGCUAGCUCUGGGGACAUUUUCCGCAAUGGGCGAAAGCCUGACGGAUCAAGACCGUGUGACGGAGGAAGGCUCUUGGGUUGUAAACCUCUUUUCUCAGGGAAAAAGCUCUGAUCGGUACCUGAGGAAUCAGCCUCGGGUAACUCCGUGCCUGCAGCCUCGGGUAAUCACGGAGGAGGCAAGCGUAAUCCUCAAUUAUUGCCCGUACAGCGUCCGGCAGGUGGCCAUACAAGUCUGCUGUCAAUACCAAGGGGCUUAGCUCCGUUGAUGCAUUGGAAACUGAAUAGCUAGAGUGCCGUAGGGGUAGAGGGAAUUCCCGGUGUACCGGUGAAAUGCGUAGACAUCGGGACGAACAUCGUUGGCGAAAGCGCUGUACUGGACGGCAACUGACACUCAGGGACGAAAGCUAGGGGAGCGAAUGGGAUUAGAUACCCCAGUAGUCCAAACCGUGAACGAUGGAUACUAGGUCUAGCUUCUAUCGACCCGAGCUAUACCGAAGCUAACGCGGAAAGUAUCCCGCAAGGGGAGUACGC
rnacentral:rRNA from 1 species